CCUACGGGAGGCAGCAGUGGGGGAUAUUGCACAAUGGGGGAAACCCUGAUGCAGCGACGCCGCGUGGGUGAAGAAGCGCCUCGGCGCGUAAAGCCCUGUCAGCAGGGAAGAAAAUGACGGUACCUGAAGAAGAAGCCCCGGCUAACUACGUGCCAGCAGCCGCGGUAAUACGUAGGGGGCAAGCGUUAUCCGGAUUUACUGGGUGUAAAGGGGGCGCAGACGGCGAUGCAAGCCAGGGGUGAAAGCCCGGGGCCCAACCCCGGGACUGCUCUUGGAACUGCGUGGCUAGAGUGCAGGAGGGGCAGGUGGAAUUCCUGGUGUAGCGGUGAAAUGCGUAGAUAUCAGGAGGAACACCGGUGGCGAAGGCGGCCUGCUGGACUGCAACUGACGUUGAGGCCCGAAAGCGUGGGGAGCAAACAGGAUUAGAUACCCCAGUAGU
rnacentral:rRNA from 1 species